AACGAACGCUGGCGGCAUGCCUAACACAUGCAAGUCGAACGAGACCUUCGGGUCUAGUGGCGCACGGGUGCGUAACGCGUGGGAAUCUGCCCUUGGGUUCGGAAUAACCAGGAGAAAUCCUGGCUAAUACCGUAUGAUGUCUUCGGACCAAAGAUUUAUCGCCCAGGGAUGAGCCCGCGUCGGAUUAGCUAGUUGGUGAGGUAAAGGCUCACCAAGGCGACGAUCCGUAGCUGGUCUGAGAGGAUGAUCAGCCACACUGGGACUGAGACACGGCCCAGACUCCUACGGGAGGCAGCAGUGGGGAAUAUUGGACAAUGGGCGAAAGCCUGAUCCAGCAAUGCCGCGUGGGUGAUGAAGGCCUUAGGGUUGUAAAGCUCUUUUGUCCGGGACGAUAAUGACGGUACCGGAAGAAUAAGCCCCGGCUAACUUCGUGCCAGCCGCCGCGGUAAAAC
rnacentral:rRNA from 1 species